AGGAGGAACAACCCCAGUGGCGGGGCCAGCUCUGGAGCCCUGGAUUCAGCUCCCGCAGUAACUCCGGAGCUCUCCGUCUGCAGGGCCUGGAGGCUCCGGGGCGGG
rfam:Canis lupus familiaris chromosome 14, whole genome shotgun sequence.